GACGUAGGAGGCGAGCGUUGUCCGGAUUCAUUGGGCGUAAAGAGCACGCAGGCGGUUUGGCAAGUCGGACGUGAAAAUCCGGGGCUCAACCCCGGACCUGCAUCCGAAACUGCCCGACUAGAGGUAGGUAGGGGAGAUCGGAAUUCCUGGUGUAGCGGUGAAAUGCGCAGAUAUCAGGAGGAACACCGGUGGCGAAGGCGGGUCUCUGGGCAGUAACUGACGCUGAGGAGCGAAAGCGUGGGGAGCGAACAGG
rnacentral:rRNA from 1 species